CUCUGUGCAGAAGAGAGAAAUUUCCUACAGAAACGGAAAUGGCUUGUUGCUGCUGCUCUGAAAAAGGCUAUCAGUUUAGAGGAGGAUCUACAGGACCAUGAGUUCAACAAUUUCCUGAAGGGCUUCCAGGUGCAUGCCAAAUACCUACAGAACAAAAAUUUUUGUAUAUGGAAAGCUAAAGUUUAAAGUUUGACUUUUGAUCUCAGUUGAAGACUUUGCGUGAACCUCAUC
rnacentral:lncRNA from 1 species